rnacentral:rRNA from 1 species
UUGACGGACUGAAGGAUCUUUCUCGAUUCCGUGGAAAGUGGUGCAUGGCCGUUUUUGGUUGGUGGAUCGAUCCGUCUGGUUAAUUCCGUUAACGAACGAGACCUCGGCACUCCGAAUAGCGCGGCGGACGUCGCGGCCUCCGGGCCGUCUUCCGCGCGAGCUUCUUAGAGGGACCGUCCCCCGCCGGGGGAAGGAGGUUCGAGGCAACGACAGGUCUGUGAUGCCCUUAGAUGUUCUGGGCCGCACGCGCAUUACACUGACGCGUCCAACGGGCGACUCCCGGCCCGAAGGGGUCGGGGAAUCCGCAAGGCGCGUCGUGAUGGGGAUUGAACGUUGCAAUUGUUGUUCACGAACGAGGAAUUCCUAGUAGGCGCGGGUCAUCAACCCGCGCCGAUUACGUCCCCUGCCCUUUGUACACACCGCCC